rnacentral:rRNA from 1 species
AUUGAACGCUGGCGGCAGGCCUAACACAUGCAAGUCGAACGGUAACAGGAAACCGCUUGCUGUUUCGCUGACGAGUGGCGGGCGGGUGAGUAAUGUCUAGGAAACUGCCUUUUGGCGGGGGGUAACUACUGGAAACGGUAGCUAAUACCGCAUAACCUCCCAAGACCAAAAAGGGGGACCUUCUCGCCCCUUGCCCUCUUAUGUGCCCAGAUGGGAUUAGCUAGUGGGUGGGGUAACGGCGCACCUAGGCGACGAUCCCCAGCUGGUCUGAGAGGAUGACCAGCCCAACUGGAACGAGGACACGGUCCAGACUCCUACGGGAGGAAGCAGUGGGGAAUAUUGCACAAUGGGCGAAAGCCUGAUGCAGCCAUGCCGCGUGUAUGAAGAAGGCCUUCGGGUUGUAAAGUACUUUCAGCGGGGAGGAAGGGAGUAAAGUUAAUACCUGUACUCAUUGACGUUACCCGAAGAAGAAGAACCGGCUAACUCCGU